GAGAGGGAGAAAUGUUAUCUAUAUUCGUGCAAGAAUUAAUUGUUAUUUUACGACGAAAAAAAAAAAUACUCUCGUAAAAAAAAGAGUUUUAAAUGUAUGCAUAAAAAUUGUGUGCAUAUGUUGGUUAUGCAUUAAAGUUUCAAGAUAGCUAUUAUAAUGAUAAGCGUGAUAUACUCAGCUUCAAAAAUAAAUGUUACGAAAUAGAUAACGAGAUACAAAUAUCAUCACAAAAAGAAAAGAUAACAUUAUUAUCAAAACUAAUAUAUGAUUAGAAUAUAUGUAAGUACAACCAAACUUGAGAACUUCAUAGAAGAAACGAACGUAUUAAUAAAAUAGAGUUUAAUAAGAGAAAUACGACUUAGAAAUGAAGGAGAUAUAAUAAAAGAUAUAGAAAAAACCAAUAUGAUAUAUUAAAAAACAAAUUAGCUAAUAUAAAUUAUGAAACGUGUAUUUAUAUGCAAUACAUCAUGCGUCAAAAAAAAAGAAACUCCAAAGAAAGUAUUGAAUAUAUUGAAACUAUAAUUAAUGAUUGGUAGUUAUCGGAAAAUAAUGAGCAUUUCUUUCUAUCGUAUAUCUUCGCGCAGUGAUGAGUCAUUUCAUCUUUGUUUCUUUCAGGCUUUGUUUUUCUUUCGCUUUGUUUAGUGCGUUAUAUGGAGUCAAGUCGUAGGAGAGUAAACAUUGGUCGUGACCGAGGACUAAGAACAAAUGUUUAUUUAUAUACAAUCGUGCUGUAACCUUCCGAACAUUUAUAUGUGAUCGGAGAUCGUCCUUGGAUAUACCGAUCAGUUUGAAACGAGACAUUGCGGCGUCAGUAUGGAUAAGACACGUUCAGACAAGUUUAUAUAAAUCUGUGCUGUGGUUGUGCCUCUCCAUGAUGGGACCGAAGGACCAGGAAACGAAGAAAAUAUCGGAGAGACGAGUAUCUACUACCAAAAAGAGAAGCUUUUUUCGCCGGGGGUCUAAAAGGUGGAGCCCUCUGACCGGAUUGAAGGGUUGGUUUAUUCUCGCUCACACAGUGCAAGUAUGUGUGGAAGUAUCCAGGGAACUCGAGGUGGAUCGAUCGAAAAGUUUCGUCGAAGGAAGGGCGAAAAGAACCGAAGAUGUGGUAAAGAAUCGUAUUAAGGGCAACGUCACGGUUCCCCGCGAUUAAAUUUUCAAGAAGGGGUCGGAGAAAAAAAGGGCGACGAAGACGAAGCAAAGAAGAAGCAAAAUCGAGAGAGUAACUUGAGGAGAGGAGAAUAGAAAAAGUAAAUUAUCGGUUGACUCGCAUCCUCGCCGAACCUCGACGAAGUCACGCCAUUGGAAGAUGCAAAGAACCUUAGGGAAAAGUACCCGAUGGUAAUUUUGUCCACGACGAGACGUGGAAAAUAAUUGGACCGGUUUGUCGCGGACAUUUUAAGUAAAUUCUUUCUCCAUCUUUUUCUCUCUCUUUUUCUAUCUCUCUCUUUUUCUCUUUGCUCAAGUUCCCCUAUUUCUCUAUCUUCCAAUUUUUCAUACUUUUACGUUUUCUUUUUUCUUCUAUUCUAUGUGAAACACAUAAUCAUACACUUAUAUCAUAUUAUAAUUGAGAAACAUGAAUAAUAACGCUUACGCUGCAUCAUAUUUACAUGUUUAUCAAAAACGUGAGAGAAAGAAGGAAAGAAAGAGAAACACAUUAAAUGAGAGAAACACAUUAUAAUUUCGGUCAAAUGUGAAAAUUAAGUAAUUACUCUUUCCUUUUCUUUUCAGAGAAAGAAACAUUCCUCGCUUUAAUUUCGUUUUGUUUUUUCUUUAUGCAUCCUCAUCUUUUCUUAUGACAUUCUUCUUAUCCUCCUUUCUAUUUUCUUUCUGCUUUAUACUCUGUUUAGAGGAAUUCGAAAAAAAAAAUCUCCCAGAGACUAGCAGGAAGGUAAGCGUAAUGAAAGGGAAAUUCACUCCAUUUGAAAAACCUCAUUACUUCGUCUUCUUGAUUCGCUCAAGAACUUGUUUUCCAACAUCAUCACGUAUAUUUCUCUAUUUAUAAGCCGUUUAAGUCGCAAAGGAAAAAAAUACAUCAUAUAAUACGUUUUAAUCGUGACGGAUUUGACUGUAUAUAGGAGAAGGAUUUUCUUGGAAAAUGUGUCUUUAACGGCGCAUUUCUGUCUCGUAAAUUUAAUCCCACGUAGUAAGACGAGGACAUGCAUGAAACACCUACAAGAAUGUAUACGUACACGGACACACGAGCGCUCAGAGUUAAAUCACGUCUCCGACGUCGCUGAUACAAAGGGAGAGCAUUUAAUGCAGCGCAUCGAAGCGAUGUUCUUUGAUGAAAUUCUAAUCUAUCUCAUUAUCACGAUUAUGAGUGUGCGUAUAAGAGAGAAAGAGAGAGAGAGAGAGAGAGAGAGAGAGAGAAAGAGAGGAAGAGAGAUAGAUCAAUACUUGACUAAAGUCGAGUAAAAAGCCUUUCUCUUUGAGUUAUCAAUGAUCCCCACGUUCUUAAGAUUUAACGAGCAAUUUUUUACUGAUUAUAUUAGAAAGUUUCAACCACUGAAUAUUUUUUCAUCUUCAUAAAUUUUAUUUUUUCUCUUUCAAUCGUGAGUUAAUAUUCAGGCUACUUCUUUUAAAGUAAAAUUCUUUCUAAUAUUUUCAGGAUGAGAAUUCGACUCGACUCGUCGAAUUAUUAUGUUAUCCCCUACCAUCAAACAUUUUUCGCAGAAUUUCAAACGCUCUUAUGUUUGCUUUGCUUCUCAGAAUUCUAUCGAAAUUGAAAUAUCGAGAGUCUAAGUAAAUCGAUUCAGUUAUCUCACGUCCGAUAUUGAACGAUAGUAUUUUUUUGUUUUGAUACGAUUAUAUAAUAACAUGACAAGUCAGUCGGUCAUACUGAUUACGAGAUAUAUUCAGUCGGUUUAUGUAUCACCAAGGACGAAUAUUUUCUCAUUCUCUCUCUUCUCGUCGAAUCCGAUAAAUCCGUGGGAAGUUUUUAUCACCCGUAUCUAUCGGCCUAAUAAACUUUUCUACGGGAUUUCCAACGUGGGAAAUAAAAAGGCCUUGUGAACGACCUUGUGGUGCCAGCCUUCCCGUACUUCCGAGAGGAGUGGUUCAAAAUACACGAAUAAGCACACAGACUUUUAUGUAUUUCUUUUCGAUAUAUUCGAGUAUAAAAUGCUUCGUCGGCAAUAUCCUCGAUCGACGAGUUCGAGCUAUUAACUCGUGUUUCACUUUUUCUCUCUUUUCUAUCCUUUUUUCUACCGCAGAAUUACGGCUUGUUCGAUUCGUUGCAGGGAAAAGAGAGAGAGAG